rnacentral:rRNA from 1 species
AGGGCGCACGGUGGAUGCCUUGGCACUAGGAGCCGAUGAAGGACGGAACUAAUACCGAUAUGCUUCGGGGAGCUAUAAGUAAGCUUUGAUCCGGAGAUUUCCGAAUGGGGGAACCCAGUACACAUCAGUGUAUUGCUUGUCAGUGAAUACAUAGCUGGCCGGCGGCAGACGCGGGGAACUGAAACAUCUCAGUACCCGCAGGAAGAGAAAGAAAACUCGAUUCCCAUAGUAGCGGCGAGCGAAGUGGGAAGAGCCCAAACCGAGAAGCUUGCUUCUCGGGGUUGUAGGACUGGACAUUGGAGUUACCAAAGUCCGACGUAGUCGAAGUCAGCUGGAAAGCUGCGCCACAGAAGGUGAAAGCCCUGUAAGCGAAACGUCGAACCCUCCGUCCAGGAUCCUGAGUACGGCGGAACACGUGAAAUUCCGUCGGAAUCCGGGAGGACCAUCUCCCAAGGCUAAAUACUCCCUAGUGACCGAUAGUGAACCAGUACCGUGAGGGAAAGGUGAAAAGCACCCCGGAAGGGGAGUGAAACAGUUCCUGAAACCGUGUGCCUACAAUUAGUCAAAGCCCGUUAAUGGGUAAUGGCGUGCCUUUUGUAGAAUGAACCGGCGAGUUACGUUUGCUUGCGAGGUUAAGAUGAAAAGUCGGAGCCGUAGCGAAAGCGAGUCUGAACAGGGCGAAUGAGUAAGCAGAUGUAGACCCGAAACCAAGUGACCUACCCAUGACCAGGUUGAAGGUGUGGUGAAACACACUGGAGGACCGAACCCAUGUAUGUUGAAAAAUGCUGGGAUGAGUUGUGGGUAGCGGUGAAAUUCCAAACGAACUUGGAGAUAGCUGGUUCUCUCCGAAAUAGCUUUAGGGUUAGCCUCGGAGGAUGGAUCAUGGAGGUAGAGCACUGUUUGAACUAGGGGCCCAUCAAGGGUUACUGAAUUCAGAUAAACUCCGAAUACCAUCGAUCUUACUCCGGGAGUCAGACAGUGAGCGAUAAGGUCCAUUGUCGAAAGGGGAACAGCCCAGAUCACCAGUUAAGGUCCCUAAAUUUAUGCUAAGUGGAAAAGGAUGUGGCGUUGCACAGACAACUAGGAUGUUGGCUCAGAAGCAGCCACCAUUUAAAGAGUGCGUAAUAGCUCACUAGUCGAGUGGCACUGCGCCGAAAAUAUACCGGGGCUAAGCAUAAUACCGAAACUGUGGGUGCACCCGUAAGGGUGCGCGGUAGGAGAGCGUUCUAAGGGCGUUGAAGGUCGAUCGUGAGGACGGCUGGAGCGCUUAGAAGUGAGAAUGCCGGCAUGAGUAGCGAAAGAUCAGUGAGAAUCUGAUCCACCGUAUGACUAAGGUUUCCUGGGGAAGGCUCGUCCUCCCAGGGUUAGUCGGGAUCUAAGGCGAGGCCGAGAGGCGUAGUCGAUGACAAGCAGGUUGAGAUUCCUGCACUAGUUUAUUUUGUUUAAGCGAUGGAGGGACGCAGGAGGCUAAGGAAAGCGCACGGCUGGAAAUGUGCGCCCAAGCAGCAAGUCUGACAGCGAGUGAAAUGCUUGCAGUCUUAAGGACAAGCUGUGAUGGGGAGCGAAAUUAUAGUAGCGAAGUUCCUGAUGUCACACUGCCAAGAAAAGCUUCUAGUGAGAAAUAAACUACCCGUACCGCAAACCGACACAGGUAGUCGAGGAGAGUAUCCUCAGGUGAGCGAGCGAACUCUCGUUAAGGAACUCGGCAAAAUGACCCCGUAACUUCGGAAGAAGGGGUGCUGACCGCAAGGUCAGCCGCAGUGAAUAGGCCCAAACAACUGUUUAUCAAAAACACAGGUCUCUGCUAAAUCGUAAGAUGAUGUAUAGGGGCUGACGCCUGCCCGGUGCUGGAAGGUUAAGAGGAUGAGUUAGCGCAAGCGAAGCCCAGAAUUGAAGCCCCAGUAAACGGCGGCCGUAACUAUAACGGUCCUAAGGUAGCGAAAUUCCUUGUCGGGUAAGUUCCGACCCGCACGAAAGGCGUAAUGAUUUGGGCACUGUCUCAACGAGAGACUCGGUGAAAUUAUAGUACCCGUGAAGAUGCGGGUUACCCGCGACAGGACGGAAAGACCCCAUGGAGCUUUACUGUAGCUUGAUAUUGAGUGUUUGUACCGCUUGUACAGGAUAGGUAGGAGCCGUAGAGAUCGGAACGCUAGUUUCGAUGGAGGCGUUGGUGGGAUACUACCCUAGCUGUAUGAACACUCUAACCCGCGCCACUAAUCGUGGCGGGAGACAGUGUCAGGUAGGCAGUUUGACUGGGGCGGUCGCCUCCUAAAAUGUAACGGAGGCGCCCAAAGGUUCCCUCAGAAUGGUUGGAAAUCAUUCGCAGAGU